rnacentral:lncRNA from 1 species
UCUCUUCAUGGCCUAUGCUUGGAUCAGCACAAGAAAGAAGAGUCUCUUAUCUAGUCUCUUCAUAAUCCAUGCUUGUUCAUGCUUUGCACUGUGAUAAGAAGACCUUAAGGAUAUUCUGUGAGAAACCAUGAGAAUGGCUAUCUAAAUCAUUGGUCUAGUGGAAUCAAAAGUUCUAGAUCCUUUAGUUCAUAUAUUUCUGUAAUUAUUUCUUUCACUGCUUUAUUAGUAGUUACAACCAAUCUCCAUAUCUUCCUUAAAGCUCAUCUAAACAAGAGUUUAAAUACACUUUAAACACCUAAUUCCUCAUG